GGGGGACCGGCGGUGUGUGUCGUAUCAUGCAGUCGAGCGAAGAGACAGGAGCUUGCUCCUUUGACGUUAGCGGCGGACGGGUGAGUAACACGUGGGUAACCUACCUAUAAGACUGGGAUAACUUCGGGAAACCGGAGCUAAUACCGGAUAAUAUUUCGAACCGCAUGGUUCGAUAGUGAAAGAUGGUUUUGCUAUCACUUAUAGAUGGACCCGCGCCGUAUUAGCUAGUUGGUAAGGUAACGGCUUACCAAGGCGACGAUACGUAGCCGACCUGAGAGGGUGAUCGGCCACACUGGAACUGAGACACGGUCCAGACUCCUACGGGAGGCAGCAGUAGGGAAUCUUCCGCAAUGGGCGAAAGCCUGACGGAGCAACGCCGCGUGAGUGAUGAAGGUCUUCGGAUCGUAAAACUCUGUUAUUAGGGAAGAACAUACGUGUAAGUAACUAUGCACGUCUUGACGGUACCUAAUCAGAAAGCCACGGCUAACUACGUGCCAGCAGCCGCGGUAAUACGUAGGUGGCAAGCGUUAUCCGGAAUUAUUGGGCGUAAAGCGCGCGUAGGCGGUUUUUUAAGUCUGAUGUGAAAGCCCACGGCUCAACCGUGGAGGGUCAUUGGAAACUGGAAAACUUGAGUGCAGAAGAGGAAAGUGGAAUUCCAUGUGUAGCGGUGAAAUGCGCAGAGAUAUGGAGGAACACCAGUGGCGAAGGCGACUUUCUGGUCUGUAACUGACGCUGAUGUGCGAAAGCGUGGGGAUCAAACAGGAUUAGAUACCCUGGUAGUCCACGCCGUAAACGAUGAGUGCUAAGUGUUAGGGGGUUUCCGCCCCUUAGUGCUGCAGCUAACGCAUUAAGCACUCCGCCUGGGGAGUACGACCGCAGGUUGAAACUCAAGGAAUUGACGGGACCCGCACAGCGGUGGAGCAUGUGUUAAUUCGAAGCACGCGAAGACCUACAAUCUUGACUUCUUUGACACUCUAGAGAUAGAGCCUCCCCCUUCGGGGACAAUGACAGUGGUGCAUGUGUCGUCAGCUCGGUUCGGGAAUGUAGUAGUCCCGCACGAGCGCAACCUUAGCUAGUUGCAUCAUUAGUUGGCCACUUAAGUUGACUGCGGACAACUGAGAGUGGUAUGUACUCAAUCUAGCCUUGAUAGGCUAACGUCCAAUGGCCAAUAUAGGGGGGA
rnacentral:rRNA from 1 species